AAGCAACACUCUGUGGUUGAUAUCUAGUUGUCUGCCUCAAUUUUAAGCUUGCUAUAGUAAGCAUAGUCUUUCCUAUUCCAGAUGUCUCUGUACAUGAGGUUAUCUGUUAUGUAGACUCUAACAUC